AUAGCCUUCAGCUUAAAUCUACCUCAGAAGGGCAAUAAUAGCAGAGGAAAGGUGCACGCCAUGAAUUUCACUGCAGGGUCCCAAGACCCUGAUCUAUCUCUAGUUUAUAUGAUCAGAAAGACACAGGCAUAGGAGAAAUGGUGGGUGUAAAGAGGGACAGAAGAUAAGAGGGAAGGAAUGAGGAUGAGUUUUUUUGCAGGAGCUCGAUGUGACAGUGGAUGCCCUGGUUCUUUUAAAGGGGAACAAAAAUGACAGCAGUAGAGAGGUCAGCCCUGGGAAGGGAAAGGGAAAGAAAGAAAGCAAGACACCCCUUCUACCCCUGGAGUGCUCUGCUGCCCUUCCGUGUUUCCCAGUAGUGUUAUUUGUUCUGAGGUGCUGCUGGUCUUUCCAGGCCUCCCACUGCUCCCCAUCAGAGCCUGUUCUGCAGAGCAUCCUUGAGGCAGGAGAGGCCAGUUGUGCUGCCAAGUAACGAAAUGCUGAGCAACCUGCUGCUGCCCCAACUCAUCACAGGUCUCAGUUUAUGCCCAGAGAGAGCUGUUUGCUGCCUGCUCCUGACGCUUUUCCUCUGAGCAAAGAAAUGGGAGUUUGUCUCCUCUUGUCUCUGUGCUUGCUCUUCAGUGCCUGAGACAGCAAUGAGUACCAGCUCAUCUAUUCUUCCUGGGAAGUGACUAACCUCCACUGCCUAGGAAAUUCUGCAUGUGAUUUUGGUAUUUAUGUAAGCUGCUAGCACACUAUUGCCUGUCCUCACAUCUGAGAAUAAGAAGGGCUGUUCAGUUGGGCACAUAUGGUUAAACGCAGAAUUUUACUCCGUAACUUAUGUGCCCACGAGGCUACGUGCACUGUGCUUCAGCCAAGGCAGAGCAGACGUGAAACUCAAGCCCAAACAAGGUAUGGCAAUACGUUCAGCCACUCAUCUGAAGUUAUGGUGCCAUAUAGGACAGGUUCACUGUGCAGGAGAGCAUACAUUUCUGUGAACAAAUCUGCAUAUUUACAAGCUUUGUUUUUAUCCUUCCUUGAAAACAAAGUGGGAAUGGAGAUGGCAUCACAGAAGAGGAGUCAGUCCUUCAAACGUAAAUGGAGUUGGAUGCAGGGUAGUCUUGCAGUGGUAUUGCAGUAUAAGGGUAAAACAAGCAACUUACGCUUCGUGUCAUAAGAGGAGGGAGACCCAGUGUAUGUAUGCACAGUGAGUAUUGUCAAAGUAAUUGUAGUAUGAAGGUCAGCAUGGCGCUGUUUGAACGCCAAGAGCAAAGGCGGUAUUGCACCUGUCUUUCCCACUGUGCAACCUCUUCUCCUUGGGGUGAGGCUUGGUGAGAGCUUGAGCUCUAGGGAGACAGUCAGAACAUGUUAGAAUACUACUUAGACUUUUGUCUGCAACAUACAUUAGCAUGAGAAAAGCUUGGGAAACACUAAACUCUACCAGGGUAGUGCAAAUCUUCAUUGUUUAACCCUCCCACAGUCUUCUCUUUCCUCUCCAUCCUCAGCUAGUAGCGACCCAUGACAGACAAAGCAGUAAGAGGCAUCUUCUUCAACAAGUCACCCCUUCUGUAACUCUUUCCCCCUUCACUUUCCCUCCUUUGAAUGGCAUCAAAUACAGGCUAUUUUUUCUAGGACACUUCUCGAUACUUUCCUGUUCUGACUUGUCA
rnacentral:lncRNA from 1 species